UUAUAGACAAACAUGUGUCCUUUAUU
rnacentral:misc_RNA from 1 species